GGAAUCGUACCCCAAACCGACACAGGUGGUCGGGUAGAGAAUACCAAGGCGCUUGAGAGAACUCGGGUGAAGGAACUAGGCAAAAUGGUACCGUAACUUCGGGAGAAGGUACGCUCUUGAUGGUGAAGUCCCUCGCGGAUGGAGCUGACGAGAGUCGCAGAUACCAGGUGGCUGCAACUGUUUAUUAAAAACACAGCACUGUGCAAAAUCGCAAGAUGACGUAUACGGUGUGACGCCUGCCCGGUGCCGGAAGGUUAAUUGAUGGGGUUAGCGCAAGCGAAGCUCUUGAUCGAAGCCCCGGUAAACGGCGGCCGUAACUAUAACGGUCCUAAGGUAGCGAAAUUCCUUGUCGGGUAAGUUCCGACCUGCACGAAUGGCGUAAUGAUGGCCACGCUGUCUCCACCCGAGACUCAGUGAAAUUGAAAUCGCUGUGAAGAUGCAGUGUACCCGCGGCUAGACGGAAAGACCCCGUGAACCUUUACUACAGCUUGGCACUGAACAUUGAACCUACAUGUGUAGGAUAGGUGGGUAGGCUAUGAAGACGUGACGCCAGUUGCGUUGGAGCCGUCCUUGAAAUACCACCCUUGUAUGUUUGAUGUUCUAACUUAGACCCAUUAUCUGGGUUGAGGACAGUGCCUGGUGGGUAGUUUGACUGGGGCGGUCUCCUCCCAAAGAGUAACGGAGGAGCACGAAGGUGGGCUAAUCACGGUUGGACAUCGUGAGGUUAGUGCAAUGGCAUAAGCCCGCUUAACUGCGAGAAUGACGGUUCGAGCAGGUGCGAAAGCAGGUCAUAGUGAUCCGGUGGUUCUGUAUGGAAGGGCCAUCGCUCAACGGAUAAAAGGUACUCCGGGGAUAACAGGCUGAUACCGCCCAAGAGUUCAUAUCGACGGCGGUGUUUGGCACCUCGAUGUCGGCUCAUCACAUCCUGGGGCUGAAGUCGGUCCCAAGGGUAUGGCUGUUCGCCAUUUAAAGUGGUACGCGAGCUGGGUUUAGAACGUCGUGAGACAGUUCGGUCCCUAUCUGCCGUGGGCGUUGGAAGAUUGAAGGGGGCUGCUCCUAGUACGAGAGGACCGGAGUGGACGAACCUCUGGUGUUCGGGUUGUGUCGCCAGACGCAUUGCCCGGUAGCUAAGUUCGGAAUCGAUAACCGCUGAAAGCAUCUAAGCGGGAAGCGAGCCCUGAGAUGAGUCUUCCCUGACGGUUUAACCGUCCUAAAGGGUUGUUCGAGACUAGAACGUUGAUAGGCAGGGUGUGUAAGCGUUGUGAGGCGUUGAGCUAACCUGUACUAAUUGCCCGUGAGGCUUAACCAUACAACACCCAAGGGGUUUUGUA
rnacentral:rRNA from 1 species